UACGAAGGGGGCUAGCGUUGCUCGGAAUCACUGGGCGUAAAGCGCACGUAGGCGGAUUGUUAAGUCAGGGGUGAAAUCCUGGAAGCUCAACUCCAGAACUGCCUUUGAUACUGGCGAUCUCGAGUCCGGGAGAGGUGAGUGGAACUGCGAGUGUAGAGGUGAAAUUCGUAGAUAUUCGCAAGAACACCAGUGGCGAAGGCGGCUCACUGGCCCGGUACUGACGCUGAGGUGCGAAAGCGUGGGGAGCAAACAGG
rnacentral:rRNA from 1 species